CGGGUGAGUAAUGUCUGGGAAACUGCCUGAUGGAGGGGGAUAACUACUGGAGACGGUAGCUAAUACCGCAUAACGUCGCAAGACCAAAGAGGGGGACCUUAGGGCCUCUUGCCAUCGGAUGUGCCCAGAUGGGAUUAGCUAGUAGGUGGGGUAACGGCUCACCUAGGCGACGAUCCCUAGCUGGUCUGAGAGGAUGACCAGCCACACUGGAACUGAGACACGGUCCAG
rnacentral:rRNA from 1 species